CUGGCUCAGGAUGAACGCUGGCGGUAUGCUUAACACAUGCAAGUCGAACGAACGUUUUCGGACGUUAGUGGCGGACGGGUGAGUAACGCGUGAGAAUCUACCUUCAGGUUGGGGAUAACAGACGGAAACGACUGCUAAUACCCAAUAUACCGAGAGGAGAAAGGCUAGCUGCCUGAAGAUGAGCUCGCGUCCGAUUAGCUAGUUGGUGGUGUAAAGGACUACCAAGGCGACGAUCGGUAGCUGGUUUGAGAGGACAAUCAGCCACACUGGGACUGAGACACGGCCCAGACUCCUACGGGAGGCAGCAGUCGGGAAUAUUGGUCAAUGGGCGAAAGCCUGAACCAGCAACGCCGCGUGCACGAUGAAGGCCUUCGGGUCGUAAAGUGCUUUUUAGAGGGGAUGAGGGAAGGGACAGUACCUCUAGAAUAAGUCACGGGCUAACUACGUGCCAGCCGCCGCGGGUAAC
rnacentral:rRNA from 1 species